AACGAACGCUGGCGGCAUGCCUAACACAUGCAAGUCGAACGAGACCUUCUGGUCUAGUGGCGCACGGGUGCGUAACGCGUGGGAACCUGCCCUUAGGUUCGGAAUAACUCCCCGAAAGGGGUGCUAAUACCGGAUAAUGUCUUCGGACCAAAGAUUUAUCGCCUUUGGAUGGGCCCGCGUUGGAUUAGCUAGUUGGUAGGGUAAAAGCCUACCAAGGCGACGAUCCAUAGCUGGUCUGAGAGGAUGAUCAGCCACACUGGGACUGAGACACGGCCCAGACUCCUACGGGAGGCAGCAGUGGGGAAUAUUGGACAAUGGGCGAAAGACUGAUCCAGCAAUGCCGCGUGAGUGAUGAAGGCCUUAGGGUUGUAAAGCUCUUUUACCCGGGAUGAUAAUGACAGUACCGGGAGAAUAAGCACCGGCUAACUCCGU
rnacentral:rRNA from 1 species